rnacentral:rRNA from 1 species
AUUGAACGCUGGCGGCAUGCCUUACACAUGCAAGUCGAACGGUAACAGGUCUUCGGAUGCUGACGAGUGGCGGACGGGGGAGUAAUACAUCGGAACGUGCCCGAUCGUGGGGGAUAACGGAGCGAAAGCUUUGCUAAUACCGCAUACGAUCUACGGAUGAAAGCAGGGGACCGCAAGGCCUUGCGCGGACGGAGCGGCCGAUGGCAGAUUAGGUAGUUGGUGGGAUAAAAGCUUACCAAGCCGACGAUCUGUAGCUGGUCUGAGAGGACGACCAGCCACACUGGGACUGAGACACGGCCCAGACUCCUACGGGAGGCAGCAGUGGGGAAUUUUGGACAAUGGGCGAAAGCCUGAUCCAGCCAUGCCGCGUGCAGGAUGAAGGCCUUCGGGUUGUAAACUGCUUUUGUACGGAACGAAAAGACUCUUUCUAAUAAAGAGGGUCCAUGACGGUACCGUAAGAAUAAGCACCGGCUAACUACGUG